rnacentral:misc_RNA from 1 species
CACGGAGGGGGCAAGCGUUAUUCGGAAUUACUGGGCGUAAAGGGCGCGUAGGCGGCCCGGCAAGUCAAAGGUGAAAGCCCUCGGCUCAACCGAGGAACAGCCUUUGAAACUGCAGGGCUUGAGGCCGGGAGGGGGUGGCGGAAUUCCUGGUGUAGCGGUGAAAUGCGUAGAUAUCAGGAGGAACACCGGUGGCGAAGGCGGCCACCUGGACCGGUUCUGACGCUGAGGCGCGAAAGCGUGGGGAGCAAACAGG